GAUGAACGCUGGCGGCGUGCCUAAUACAUGCAAGUCGAGCGAACAGACGAGGAGCUUGCUCCUCUGACGUUAGCGGCGGACGGGUGAGUAACACGUGGAUAACCUACCUAUAAGACUGGGAUAACUUCGGGAAACCGGAGCUAAUACCGGAUAAUAUAUUGAACCGCAUGGUUCAAUAGUGAAAGACGGUUUUGCUGUCACUUAUAGAUGGAUCCGCGCCGCAUUCGCUAGUUGGUAAGGUAACGGCUUACCAAGGCAACGAUGCGUAGCCGACCUGAGAGGGUGAUCGGCCACACUGGAACUGAGACACGGUCCAGACUCCUACGGGAGGCAGCAGUAGGGAAUCUUCCGCAAAGGGCGAAAGCCUGACGGAGCAACGCCGCGUGAGUGAUGAAGGUCUUCGGAUCGUAAAACUCUGUUAUUAGGGAAGAACAAAUGUGUAAGUAACUAUGCACGUCUUGACGGUACCUAAUCAGAAAGCCACGGCUAACUACGUG
rnacentral:rRNA from 1 species